rnacentral:rRNA from 1 species
UUGACGGGGCCCGCACAAGCGGUGGAGCAUGUGGUUUAAUUCGAAGCAACGCGAAGAACCUUACCAGGUCUUGACAUCCCCUGACAACCCGAGAGAUUGGGCGUUCCCCUUCGGGGGACAGGGUGACAGGUGGUGCAUGGUUGUCGUCAGCUCGUGUCGUGAGAUGUUGGGUUAAGUCCCGCAACGAGCGCAACCCUCGCCUCUAGUUGCCAGCAUUCGGUUGGGCACUCUAGAGGGACUGCCGGCGACAAGUCGGAGGAAGGUGGGGAUGACGUCAAAUCAUCAUGCCCCUUAUGACCUGGGCUACACACGUGCUACAAUGGGCGGUACAAAGGGCUGCGAACCCGCGAGGGGGAGCGAAUCCCAAAAAGCCGCUCUCAGUUCGGAUUGUAGGCUGCAACUCGCCUGCAUGAAGCCGGAAUCGCUAGUAAUCGCGGAUCAGCAUGCCGCGGUCGAAUACGUUCCCGGGCCUU